rnacentral:lncRNA from 1 species
CUAAGUUGGGUGUGGAUUUGUUUUGUAUACCUGCACGUGCAUAGUUUUUUUUUUUUUUAUCUUUAAUAAUAACUUAUGUGGAUCAUCUGUUUCUAUUUUGCUAUCGCUGUUCAAAGUAGCUGUCGAGAUGUGGACCCAUCAGAAGUUUUGCCACACGUGUUGGGGAGCAGAGAGGUGAGACAAAGGUCGCCUGGGAUAGCACGCAUACCGGUCUUCAUGCUAGCCAGAGGUCCGUGCGUCCCUGCUAUGCCCUUGUGUUUCUUUGUACUUCACACUGUGGACAGUAGAAUCAGGAGCCAGAGGGUGAAUUUAAUUUGGAACAGACCCCCCUGUCUUGAUAGAACUGCCUUUACUCAGGCUCAAACACAGCAACCUGCAAUUUCCUGAGGCCGUAACUCAGCCGGGGCUCUCACAGGCUCUAAAAAUGAAGUCCAGACUCAGCACCUCUCAGAGCUCACCCAGCUCCUACCAACAACACAGAGUGGUGUGGACGCCCGAGUCAGUCGAGUAGCAAUGGUUUUCUCCCUGAUGUAAUCAAACGGAGUGCACGGAUAUCACUUGAUUAACAGCUGCGGUAUUAAUUUCCCUUUUUGGUUGCUUGACUCACAGCAAGAAUCAUGUCAAGGCAGCAGAGAAGCAAUUAAAUUGAUUUUAAUCUUUGUCAGAGAAGAUAACAUGCCUCUUUCUCUUCUCAUUUAAAUAAUUAAAGUUUCAGUAGGUAUUAUUUCUGGCUUUAAAGAAAUUGGUAUCUUAAUGUAAUAGAA